rnacentral:rRNA from 1 species
UGCAGUCGAACGGUGAAGCAGAGCUUGCUCUGUGGAUCAGUGGCGAACGGGUGASUAACACGUGAGCAAUCUGCCCCUGACUCUGGGAUAAGCGCUGGAAACGGCGUCUAAUACCGGAUACGAGCUGCGAAGGCAUCUUCAGCAGCUGGAAAGAAUUUCGGUCAGGGAUGAGCUCGCGGCCUAUCAGCUUGUUGGUGAGGUAACGGCUCACCAAGGCGUCGACGGGUAGCCGGCCUGAGAGGGUGACCGGCCACACUGGGACUGAGACACGGCCCAGACUCCUACGGGAGGCAGCAGUGGGGAAUAUUGCACAAUGGGCGAAAGCCUGAUGCAGCAACGCCGCGUGAGGGACGACGGCCUUCGGGUUGUAAACCUCUUUUAGCAGGAAAGAAGCGAAAGUGACGGUACCUGCAGAAAAAGCGCCGGCUAACUACGUGCCAGCAGCCGCGGUAAUACGUAGGGCGCAAGCGUUAUCCGGAAUUAUUGGGCGUAAAGAGCUCGUAGGCGGUCUGUCGCGUCUGCUGUGAAAACCCGAGGCUCAACCUCGGGCCUGCAGUGGGUACGGGCAGACUAGAGUGCGGUAGGGGAGAUUGGAAUUCCUGGUGUAGCGGUGGAAUGCGCAGAUAUCAGGAGGAACACCGAUGGCGAAGGCAGAUCUCUGGGCCGUAACUGACGCUGAGGAGCGAAAGGGUGGGGAGCAAACAGGCUUAGAUACCCUGGUAGUCCACCCCGUAAACGUUGGGAACUAGUUGUGGGGUCCAUUCCACGGAUUCCGUGACGCASCUAACGCAUUAAGUUCCCCGCCUGGGGAGUACGGCCGCAAGGCUAAAACUCAAAGGAAUUGACGGGGACCCGCMCAAGCGGCGGA